rnacentral:rRNA from 1 species
UCCCGACUUACCAACCCGAUGCAAACUGCGAAUACCGGAGAAUGUUAUCACGGGAGACACACGGCGGGUGCUAACGUCCGUCGUGAAGAGGGAAACAACCCAGACCGCCAGCUAAGGUCCCAAAGUCAUGGUUAAGUGGGAAACGAUGUGGGAAGGCCCAGACAGCCAGGAUGUUGGCUUAGAAGCAGCCAUCAUUUAAAGAAAGCGUAAUAGCUCACUGGUCGAGUCGGCCUGCGCGGAAGAUGUAACGGGGCUAAACCAUGCACCGAAGCUGCGGCAGCGACGCUUAUGCGUUGUUGGGUAGGGGAGCGUUCUGUAAGCCUGCGAAGGUGUGCUGUGAGGCAUGCUGGAGGUAUCAGAAGUGCGAAUGCUGACAUAAGUAACGAUAAAGCGGGUGAAAAGCCCGCUCGCCGGAAGACCAAGGGUUCCUGUCCAACGUUAAUCGGGGCAGGGUGAGUCGACCCCUAAGGCGAGGCCGAAAGGCGUAGUCGAUGGGAAACAGGUUAAUAUUCCUGUACUUGGUGUUACUGCGAAGGGGGGACGGAGAAGGCUAUGUUGGCCGGGCGACGGUUGUCCCGGUUUAAGCGUGUAGGCUGGUUUUCCAGGCAAAUCCGGAAAAUCAAGGCUGAGGCGUGAUGACGAGGCACUACGGUGCUGAAGCAACAAAUGCCCUGCUUCCAGGAAAAGCCUCUAAGCAUCAGGUAACAUCAAAUCGUACCCCAAACCGACACAGGUGGUCAGGUAGAGAAUACCAAGGCGCUUGAGAGAACUCGGGUGAAGGAACUAGGCAAAAUGGUGCCGUAACUUCGGGAGAAGGCACGCUGAUAUGUAGGUGAAGUGAUUUACUCAUGGAGCUGAAAUCAGUCGAAGAUACCAGCUGGCUGCAACUGUUUAUUAAAAACACAGCACUGUGCAAACACGAAAGUGGACGUAUACGGUGUGACGCCUGCCCGGUGCCGGAAGGUUAAUUGAUGGGGUCAGCGCAAGCGAAGCUCUUGAUCGAAGCCCCGGUAAACGGCGGCCGUAACUAUAACGGUCCUAAGGUAGCGAAAUUCCUUGUCGGGUAAGUUCCGACCUGCACGAAUGGCGUAAUGAUGGCCAGGCUGUCUCCACCCGAGACUCAGUGAAAUUGAACUCGCUGUGAAGAUGCAGUGUACCCGCGGCAAGACGGAAAGACCCCGUGAACCUUUACUAUAGCUUGACACUGAACAUUGAGCCUUGAUGUGUAGGAUAGGUGGGAGGCUUUGAAGUGUGGACGCCAGUCUGCAUGGAGCCGACCUUGAAAUACCACCCUUUAAUGUUUGAUGUUCUAACGUUGACCCGUAAUCCGGGUUGCGGACAGUGUCUGGUGGGUAGUUUGACUGGGGCGGUCUCCUCCUAAAGAGUAACGGAGGAGCACGAAGGUUGGCUAAUCCUGGUCGGACAUCAGGAGGUUAGUGCAAUGGCAUAAGCCAGCUUGACUGCGAGCGUGACGGCGCGAGCAGGUGCGAAAGCAGGUCAUAGUGAUCCGGUGGUUCUGAAUGGAAGGGCCAUCGCUCAACGGAUAAAAGGUACUCCGGGGAUAACAGGCUGAUACCGCCCAAGAGUUCAUAUCGACGGCGGUGUUUGGCACCUCGAUGUCGGCUCAUCACAUCCUGGGGCUGAAGUAGGUCCCAAGGGUAUGGCUGUUCGCCAUUUAAAGUGGUACGCGAGCUGGGUUUAGAACGUCGUGAGACAGUUCGGUCCCUAUCUGCCGUGGGCGCUGGAGAACUGAGGGGGCUGCUCCUAGUACGAGAGGACCGGAGUGGACGCAUCACUGGUGUUCGGGUUGUCAUGCCAAUGGCACUGCCCGGUAGCUAAAUGCGGAAGAGAUAAGUGCUGAAAGCAUCUAAGCACGAAACUUGCCCCGAGAUGAGUUCUCCCUGACCCUUUAAGGGUCCUGAAGGAACGUUGAAGACGACGACGUUGAUAGGCCGGGUGUGUAAGCGCAGCGAUGCGUUGAGCUAACCGGUACUAAUGAACCGUGAGGCUUAACCUU